GAACGCGAAGAACCUUACCUGGUCUUGACAUCCACAGAACUUUCCAGAGAUGGAUUGGUGCCUUCGGGAACUGUGAGACAGGUGCUGCAUGGCUGUCGUCAGCUCGUGUUGUGAAAUGUUGGGUUAAGUCCCGCAACGAGCGCAACCCUUAUCCUUUGUUGCCAGCGGUCCGGCCGGGAACUCAAAGGAGACUGCCAGUGAUAAACUGGAGGAAGGUGGGGAUGACGUCAAGUCAUCAUGGCCCUUACGACCAGGGCUACACACGUGCUACAAUGGCGCAUACAAAGAGAAGCGACCUCGCGAGAGCAAGCGGACCUCAUAAAGUGCGUCGUAGUCCGGAUUGGAGUCUGCAACUCGACUCCAUGAAGUCGGAAUCGCUAGUAAUCGUGGAUCAGAAUGCCACGGUGAAUACGUUCCCGGGUCUUGUACACACC
rnacentral:rRNA from 1 species